rnacentral:lncRNA from 1 species
GGCACCACAAUUACUUAUAAUCUUAAUGAAGAACAAUAUUGUUUUUUCUAAGGCUAGGCUAUGGACCUCAAUACUUUGAUAUGGAUUUUUGGAAUAUAUCUUAUUGUUUAGAAUCUUUUUUAUGACCAUAUUAGUAUUCAAAGGUUAGUGAACAAUGGUCAAGGAGUAGUCGAUCCUAAAUUUACUAAAGUUAAAAAAUAUAAGUCAUUUCUUUGCUUAUAAAGGUAUGCAAUAGAUGAGCUACAAGCUCAAGAUGUCUUUGAAAUUUUAGCUAAAUAUUUAGAAAAAAUAAAUGCUCAAGAAACUUUUUCAUGGAAUUUCUUUUGAAAGACACUCCAUGUUCUAUCAAUAUUUCUAAUUCACACAAAUAUCAUAGUAAUAAAGCUCUUUAUUUAAUUAAAAAUGAGGUUGUUAGAAGCAUAGGAAUUAUUUCUUUAAAAAAUUAGUAAUUAAAAGCAGUGCCAGCAUAUAGUGGUGCUUU